AAUAGAUACCCAGGUAGUCCACGCCGUAAACGAUGGAUGCUAGCUGUUAGGAGUAUCGACCCUUCUAGUGGCGAAGCUAACGCGUUAAGCAUCCCGCCUGGGGAGUACGAACGCAAGUUUAAAACUCAAAGGAAUUGACGGGGACCCGCACAAGUGGUGGAGCGUGUUCUUUAAUUCGAAGCUAAGCGAAGAACCUUACCAGGGCUUGACAUCCAGGGAAGCACUGCGAAAGCAGCGUGUGCCUUUUGGAACCCUGUGACAGGUGUUGCAUGGCCGUCGUCAGCUCGUGUCGUGAGAUGUUUGGUUAAGUCCAUCAACGAGCGCAACCCUUAUGAUUAGUUGGAUUUUUCUAAUCAGACUGCCUCGGUAACGGGGAGGAAGGAGGGGAUGAUGUCAGGUCAUUAUUACCCUUACGUCCUGGGCUAGAAACGCGCUACAAUGGCCGGUACAAAGGGCAGCCAACCCGCGAGGGGAGCAAAUCCCAUCAAAACCGGUCCCAGUUCGGAUUGCAGGCUGAAACUCGCCUGCAUGAAGCCGGAAUCACUAGUAA
rnacentral:rRNA from 1 species